UCAGCCACAUUGGGACUGAGACACGGCCCAAACUCCUACGGGAGGCAGCGUGGGGAAUCUUGCACAAUGGAGGAAACUCUGAUGCAGGCGAUGCCNNGGAGUGAAGAAGGCCUUUGGGUUGUAAAGCUCUUUCNUCGGGGAAGAAAAUGACUGUACCCGAAUAAGAA
rnacentral:rRNA from 1 species